AUUGAACGCUGGCGGCAGGCUUAACACAUGCAAGUCGAGCGGAGAUGAGGUGCUUGCACCUUAUCUUAGCGGCGGACGGGUGAGUAAUGCUUAGGAAUCUGCCUAUUAGUGGGGGACAACAUUCCGAAAGGAAUGCUAAUACCGCAUACGUCCUACGGGAGAAAGCAGGGGAUCUUCGGACCUUGCGCUAAUAGAUGAGCCUAAGUCGGAUUAGCUAGUUGGUGGGGUAAAGGCCUACCAAGGCGACGAUCUGUAGCGGGUCUGAGAGGAUGAUCCGCCAGACUGGGAGUGAGACACGGCCCAGACUCCUACGGGAGGCAGCAGUGGGGAAUAUUGGACAAUGGGGGGAACCCUGAUCCAGCCAUGCCGCGUGUGUGAAGAAGGCCUUAUGGUUGUAAAGCACUUUAAGCGAGGAGGAGGCUACUGAGACUAAUACUCUUGGAUAGUGGACGUUACUCGCAGAAUAAGCACCGGCUAGCUCUGUGCCAGCCGCCGCGGUAAUAC
rnacentral:rRNA from 1 species